GGAAGCGUGCCCGAGACCAAGGACUACUUUGAUAGAGUAAAACACAGGGGAUCGCCCCCCCCUCUCUUCC
rnacentral:tRNA from 1 species